GUGUACAAAAACAAACCAAACCUUCACCUCAACUUUGUGAUAGGAGGAAAACUUCUCCAAAAUCUGUUUUAGUGUCUGGCUCUCUACGAAAACCAUUAGAAAAACAAUUCAACUAUAAAAAAUUGACCAAUCAAGAAAGUUUCAAUACUAAACCUACUAGACCUCCACAACCAAUAUUCGACACAACCAGGGAAGAAGUACUUGUAGACAUAUCACCAGAGGAAAUCCCAGUUUUGCGAAUGAAAGAUAUACCCGAUAGGCCAGAAUCAAGAACAGUAUCUCUGAUUGACGAACCAAUAGAAGUUUCUCAAG